rnacentral:rRNA from 1 species
UACGGGGGGGGCAAGCGUUGUUCGGAAUUACUGGGCGUAAAGGGCUCGUAGGCGGCCAACUAAGUCAUACGUGAAAUCCCUCGGCUUAACCGGGGAACUGCGUCUGAUACUGGAUGGCUUGAGUUCGGGAGAGGGAUGCGGAAUUCCAGGUGUAGCGGUGAAAUGCGCAGAUAUCAGGAGGAACACCGGUGGCGAAGGCGGUUCUCUGGGCAUUACCUGACGCUGAGGCGCGAAAGCGUGGGGAGCAAACAGG